rnacentral:rRNA from 1 species
UACAGAGGGCGCGAGCGUUGUCCGGAAUCACUGGGCGUAAAGGGCGCGUAGGUGGCCCGGUCAGUUCGUGGUGAAAGCGCGGGGCUCAACCCUGCGUCGGCCAUGAAUACUGCCGCGGCUGGAGCACUGUAGAGGCAGGCGGAAUUCCGGGUGUAGCGGUGAAAUGCGUAGAUAUCAGGAGGAACACCGGUGGUGUAGACGGCUUUCUGGACCGUAACUGACGCUGAGACACGAAAGCGUGGGUAGCAAACAGG